AACGAACGCUGGCGGCAGGCUUAACACAUGCAAGUCGAGCGCCCCGCAAGGGGAGCGGCAGACGGGUGAGUAACGCGUGGGAAUCUACCCAUCUCUACGGAAUAACGCAUGGAAACGUGUGUUAAUACCGUAUACGUCCUUCGGGAGAAAGAUUUAUCGGAGAUGGAUGAGCCCGCGUUGGAUUAGCUAGUUGGUGGGGUAAAGGCCUACCAAGGCGACGAUCCAUAGCUGGUCUGAGAGGAUGAUCAGCCACACUGGGACUGAGACACGGCCCAGACUCCUACGGAGGCAGCAGUGGGGAAUAUUGGACAAUGGGCGCAAGCCUGAUCCAGCCAUGCCGCGUGAGUGAUGAAGGCCCUAGGGUUGUAAAGCUCUUUCACCGGUGAAGAUAAUGACGGUAACCGGAGAAGAAGCCCCGGCUAACUUCGUGCCAGCCGCCGCCGUAAGAC
rnacentral:rRNA from 1 species